UACGUAGGGGGCGAGCGUUGUCCGGAAUUAUUGGGCGUAAAGAGCUUGUAGGUGGCUCGUCGCGUCGGGAGUGAAAACCCGCGGCUUAACCGCGGGCCUGCUUUCGAUACGGGCGGGCUAGAGUUCGGCAGGGGAGACUGGAAUUCCUGGUGUAGCGGUGGAAUGCGCAGAUAUCAGGAGGAACACCGGUGGCGAAGGCGGGUCUCUGGGCCGAUACUGACACUGAGAAGCGAAAGCGUGGGGAGCGAACAGG
rnacentral:rRNA from 1 species